ACAGGAUAUUGCAUCAGCCAGCACUAUUGGAAGAUGCUGGUUUGUCAGUGUUUUCUUCACUAUAAGCCUGGCCUUCAGUGGAUUGGAUCUCUCUGCCAUGGACUGUACUGUAACAAGAGCAGAAUAUUGUAGAGAUAUGCUUAAACCCUGACGAAAACAGUUAACUUCUCAGAUACAAAAUUCGUAAAUCUUUUUCAAAGGAGCUCAGGAUUGGGAUGAAGACAAAGCUUGGAAUACAUUCAGAGCCACAUGCAGCAGACGGACUGUCCCCAGCUCACUGCGACUAUUUUUCUCCAAGUUCUGAAGAAAGAUCACAGGACUCAAAAUGUUAACUCCACUUCUCUCUCCACAGAAGCAGCCAGACUUGCUGAGGUUCUCCAACAAUGUGUUUGUUGCCGAUUUCCAGGGUUUAUGGCUGCCUUUCUACCCACCGUCCCGCCAUCUCUACCUUUCUGUUUCACACACACACGCUCUUUCUGACCUGCCGCCAUCCCACCCCUUUACACCAAUGACUGCCUCUGGCUGGUAACUUGAACCUUUCCUGAAAAUGUCAUUCGCUGAAGAGUCAAAAACACGACAUUGAUUUACCACAAACAGAUGCGAUGUCAUUGCUAACUUUUAAAUGCCCUUCAGUGCACCUGAUUUAACUCAUUCUAAGGUGGAGUGUGUCAUUGCUGUACCUGCCUUGUGAUAUUUGCAUUUAUGUAGCACCAUUCAAAACUUUAAUUAAAGACCUUUACGACA